rnacentral:lncRNA from 1 species
CCCCGCCCUGCUUUCCCAAGCAUGCAGGACCCUGGCUCCCAGCGCUGCCUCCUCAGCCCUCGGCCUUCGCCCAAGGUUCCCUACCUCAAUAGCUGUCCUGGAACUAGGGACUCCCCCACCCAGGGCUCCAGAGAUGUGAGAUGCACCGGGGCCUGGGUGGGGCCUUGGGGCUCCCUGUUUUCCCCUUCCAGCCCCAGAGCCUCUCAAAUUCCCAGAGGUGCCCUCCAGCCGGGGAGGGUGGGGCUGCUCCUGGGAUCAUGCAGAGUCACAGCUGCUGAGUGACGGGGCUGUGGCGGCGGCCUUCCACCACUCCGGGGCUCCCCGUCCAGCCUACCUGUCCCAGCACCUGUUCCGCCCACUUGUGAUGCUCAGUAAGGGGGGGGGGGGGCAGAUGGCCGCCAGGGGCCGCGUGCUGGCACCUGUGAGCUGGGAAUCGAGAUUCCGGAUUCCGUGUAGGGAGAUGUGAGGCGGGAGAGAAAAGGGAGUCAGAAGAGGGGACACCAAGGAGGAAGAGGGCAUCAAGAGGCAGAGGAGGAGUGUAAGCGUGGAGGGAGAGGGCCUGAGCGCCACGGGGUAGGAGCACCGACGGCGGGGGAGGGCGGGGGGGAGAGACCUUACCGACAGAGCCAGGGCUCUCUCCAGCCGCGCCUGCCUCCUGGUCUCCCAGCCUUCAGUCCCACCCCAAGAGCCCUCGGGGUCUCGCGGAAGGCGGCUGCGCUGGGGGAAAGUCCCGGGCAGAGGCAGGGUGGCCAAGGCGCGCUCCUGUCCUACCCGAGAGGAACCUGGAGAGCUGGGUCCGGAAGCGGCCGGGGGCCUUGGACCCUAAACGUCAAGGCUGGGGGUACUGGCAGGGGCAGUGCCCACCGACUCGGGCCUCGCCACUGGAGCCGCCUGAGGGACUGCGUUUGGCCCCAACGUACCUGGGCCUCCGGAAUGGGCCCCAGGUAGGCUCUGGUUCCCGGAACUCCGCACUGCAGACUUCGGGCGCCCCGAGCUCUCCGCCCGCAUUCUGGGGGGCGCCUGGCCGUGGCACGUGCGCCUCCACCUGGGUCCUCCCCGCGGCUCCGAGGUCCCUGCGCCCCGAGCCGGGUCCUGCGAGAGGUGCCCCGCAUCCGGGCAGAGGCCACGCAGCCCGGCUCCGGCUCCCGCUCCAAGCCAGCCGCCCCAGGCCCCACCCCUGCUCCUCGGGCCCCCUCCCUGCUCCCCGGCUCCGGCGCAGUCCGACCCUAGGGCCCGGCCUCGGCGCAGGAACCGGACCGUGGCGCCGGCCGCCGAGUGGUCUGUGCUGCUGCGCGCGCUCGCGGGGCCGGACAGGGACGCCGCGCAAGCCUGCGCAGUGGCCGCCAUCCUGGUGCCGGGCGACUACAGCAGCGUGGAGCUGGGCGCCGACCUGGCCCUGCUGCGCCUCGCCUCGACAGCCAGGCUGGGCCCCGCCGUGCAUCCGUCGGCCUGCCCCGCGCCGCCCACCGC